GUAAUUUCUGUAGUUAAAGCAUUUGUAAAUCUUUCUCUAACAGUAUGAAAUAAUUAUAAAUUCUGAUUAAAACAUUUUACAUUGAGACCUUUAUUUGUAAUUUUUUGUAUUUGGAAGACAGCUAUACAUUCAAUAUGAUAAGGCUGGCUUAACAUUUCAAGUCUAGGUUUCUUAUUUCCAAUGUGGCGCAUGCAUGUACUCUCCCAGAAUCUAGAACUCCCUACAUGUGGAUGUCCAGGAUGCAGUCACUCUCUGUGCUCAUAGUUAGAUGCAAAACACAAUUUAUCAUUAUGGUCUUUCCCUGGAAGAAUAACAGAAUGAUGUUAGAUGAAGAAUAUCUGACAAGACUAUUAAAUACAGUUUAAAAAACAAACUAAAAAAUUUUCUUAUCAAAACUGAUGAUAGUGAUUGGAAAUUAUAAUCAAGGUAUUUUCAAGAAAUGACUCCAUCUCUGAACCUGCAGACGUUGACCACAUUGCUUCAGCUUCUAAUGGAGCAGUUCCCAAUGUUCUCAAGCCAGUGACAGGAAAAAGGGGCAGGAGCUAUACUUUUCCCAAUUUCUUGAAGAUUUGAAGUGUUAUAACAAUAUGUUCAAUAACCAAUCAAGAUUGUUUGUGAAACCCCUACCAUUGGUGUUUUUGUUGUUGACGUGGCUAAUUUUGGAUAAUCUGACUUUAUUAUUGGCCUUUUUGUGGACAGAUCUCUUUUAUGAAGUAUGAGCAUAAUCUACCAAGACUAAAUAUUUAAUAGGCUGGCACGUUUGGAUUAAUCGGG